ACCCUGCCACCCACCUUAGGUAUAUUUACGGUACCUCCAUGUAAAGUAUAUCCAAAGAAACCUAUAUUCAUUUCAAAUAAUACGAUAUUUGCUUCAUAUAAGAGAUGGUGUAUAGGUAUAAAUUUAAAAACUAGUACCCUCAAACGCCCCUCGACACUUUCCAAAUGAUGAUUAUACGAAAACAAAAGGACAAGCAGAGGAAAUAUUCACAUUUGCUGGAAAUCGGAAGAAACGUCAGUGAAGCACGUAUCUGGACCAUCUAACAUCCAAAGUAACGCUUCUCAAUCCAUCUUGACUCUCCCUCAUCCUCUAUCCGGCCCACUACAGCCUUCACAUCGGGAUAGACAGCGGUUAAUCUCUGCAAUCCGCGUUUUCCUGCGGCGAACGUUACAAAGACGAUACGGCCUUCGUCUACUCCAUGGUCGAUGAGGACUCGCACAGCCAUCAAUGCAGCUCCACCACUUGACAUUUGUGGAUCAAGCAGUAUGACAGCGGCGUGGUCAUUGAUGUCCUGGGGUAAUUUAAGAUAAUGCAGUUCAGGCUCCCCUGUGCUGUAAUUUGUUUGAAUGAGAACGCGGCCAGUUAUGCAGUCAGGAAUCGUUCGUUUCAAACCAGUUUCUAGGCAAGAGCCACCGCGAAGGAUUGCAACAGCAGAUAUUGUGCCUGCGGGUCGCAGGCCAUGAUAGAUAUGUUGGUCAGGUGUGGCCACUGUAGCGGGGACGAAUGGGAUGGUAUCUAGGGCACUGCCUUAUUUCUUAGCUCGCAAAACUAUUUUUGGAUGAAAAAGAUAAGCAAUAACCAAG
rnacentral:sRNA from 2 species